rnacentral:rRNA from 1 species
GACGAACGCUGGCGGCGUGCUUAACACAUGCAAGUCGAACGGAGUGGCGAGCGGGGGAGUAAUACCUAGGAAUCUGCCUGGUAGUGGGGGAUAACGUUCGGAUACGGCCGCUCAUACCGCAUACAAUCCGAUUAGCCUAGUUCGGAUUAGCUAGUUGGUGAGGUAAUGGCCCACCAAGGAUACGAUCCGUAACUGGUCUGCGAGGAUGAUCAGUCACACUGGAACUGAGACACGGUCCAGACUCCUACGGGAGGCAGCAGUGGGGAAUAUUGGACAAUGGGCGAAAGCCUGAUCCAGCCAUGCCGCGUGUGUGAAGAAGGUCUUCGGAUUGUAAAGCACUUUAAGUUGGGAGGCGUUACCGACAGAAUAAGCACCGGCUAACUCUGUGCCAGCCGCCGCGGUAAUAC